CGUGCGCAAAUUCUUCCGCGCCAUCAUCGACGGCGUCACCCACGUCGCCCGCGCUCUGCGCAACGUUUGGCUCUGGCUCAGCAACGUGGGCGACGUCUGCAACCGAGAGAUGGGGACCCCCUUCCAGCGCUGCCUGCGCGUCUUCGCCGACGCCAAGGACAACUGCGAGCGCGCGCUCUCCUUCCUCUUCUUCCUCUGCUACAUCAUCAUCACCUUCAGACCCCUCUGCGGCCUCGCCAGCCUCGGACUCCUCUUCUGCAUCGUCCCCAUGUACGUCCAGUCCUUCCUCAGGAGGG